rnacentral:misc_RNA from 1 species
AACGCACCUUGCGCCUUUUGGUAUUCCAAAAGGCACACCUGUUUGAGUGCCAUGAAACCCCUCAACUUCAAUAUUUCUAAUCUGAAGUGUUGAAGGCUUGGAUGUUGAGUGUUGCUGUUAGGCCCUAACAGCUCGCUUUAAAUUAAUUAGCCAUCCCAUUAUUGCUCGGAUUGACUCAGCGUUAUAGCAUUUUCGUUGAGGAUGCCUUAAAUGGCAGCCGAAAAAUAUAGGGUAGCUCAUAACUGCCAUUAGUGCCUUACAUUUUUGACCUCAAAUCAGGUGGGACUACCCGCUGAACUUAA